rnacentral:rRNA from 1 species
UACGAGGGGGGCAAGCGUUGUUCGGAAUUAUUGGGCGUAAAGGGUGCGUAGGCGGUUUGGUAAGUCUUAUGUGAAAUCUACAGGCUCAACUUGUAGUCUGCAUGAGAAACUGCCGGGCUUGAGUAUGGGAGAGGUGAGUGGAAUUCCUGGUGUAGCGGUGAAAUGCGUAGAUAUCAGGAGGAACACCUGUGGCGAAAGCGGCUCACUGGACCAUAACUGACGCUGAUGCACGAAAGCGUGGGGAUCAAACAGG